GACAACGUCUGCCUAGAUCCCGUGGAAGAGGCUGGCUUACUGCCUUCUGGAAGUUCUCUUCUUAAUUUUUUUUUUUUAACUUUUCAUUUUGAACUGAAAUAAUUUCAGACUUUCAAAAAUGUUGCAAAAGUAGUACGAAGAAUGCCCAUAUCCCUCAGCCAAGUUCCCGAAAUAUUAACAUCUUAUAUAUCCACAGUACAGUGAUCAAAAUUAGGAAAUUAACAUUGGUAUAUUAACAACUAAUCGACAGACCUUAUCACAUUUUGCCAAUUAUCCCUUUAAUACCCUUUUUUUUGUUCCAGGAUAUAAUCCAGGAUCAUGCAUUGCACUGAGAUGUCACGUCUCCUUAGUCUCCCUUAAUCUGUGACAGUUCCUCUGUCAUUCGUUGUCUUUCAUGAUCGUGACACUUUUGAAGAGUGCUGGCCAGCCCUUUUGUAGAAUGUCACUGUUGUGUUUGUCCGAUAUUUCCUCUAGAUUAGAUUUAGGUGAUGCCUUUUUGGCAAGAGUACCACAGAAGCGAUGUGCCCUUCUCAGGAGGGACAACAGCUCAAAAUGUCUCAUGGCCAAUGAUGUUGACUUUGACCACUUGGUUAAAGUGCUAUCUGGCAGAUUUCUCCUUUGGGUUUAAUGGCCAGAGAGCUCCUUUUCAAAGGCAUCUCCGAAUGAACUAGGUCCCUCGUACACUAUUUGUCUGCCACAAUCUGCUGGAUUAAAACCAAAAAAACCAAACCUGUUGCUGCUGAGUCAAUUCAACUCAUAGUGACCCUAUCGGACAGAGUAGAACUGCCCUAUAAGGUUUCCAGGGAGCGGCUGGUGGAUUCCAACUGCCCAUCUUUUUCUUUUUGUUUUAAUUCUUUUAUUCUGCUAGUUACUCCUUCCACCUCAGGCAUUAUGAUGGGAGCAGGACAUAGGACGGAAGAGACAACAUCAUUGUCAUCAUUGUCUCCUACUUUAAUUGGGAGGCAGGUAAAGAGAUGCUUACAACAUGGUUGAUUCUUGCUGGCUCUAUCAAGGACAUCAGAGGGGCCACAGAGAAGAGGCUUCUAACUUGGGUAUUUUGCCAUUUCAGGGUUGCCCCUCACAUACCUACAGAAGCCAGACAGGCAAAUGGGCAAAGAGGGAGAGGUGGAAACUGACAAACUGGGAAGACAUGUAGGCCUACUGUUGCUAAACUUCUGAUUUUUUUCAAGAAAAGCCACAAAUGUGAUUUUUUUAAAUGCUAAGGAGAACUCUGCACACAUGGGGUCACAUUGGGUCAUCAUGAGUCAGAAUCCACCUUGACGGCAAACAACAACUGUGCCAGGAGUGUGAGAAAUGGGAUGAAGAGAAAAGGCUGAUGAUGGAGAUCAGUGAGGAGGAUCGUGCAAAUAAUCCAGGGGGAAAAAGGAUAAGGACCUGAACUAAGACUGCUGGCAAUGGAAAUAGCCUGCUUUGUGAGAAUUACGAGGUAAAAUCGUCAAAGUUGUUGAAUGAGGCAGAUGAGAAAGAGAAGAUUUGAAGAUGAGGCCUACGUUUCUGGCUUGGAAGACAAGGUUUACAAUUCCAACCUUCAUAUUAUCCUGAAUGUGUCUCCGGUUCCAUUUUUCAUAUUGCAAAGGCCAACAAGCAGGAGGGGCUGGAGAAGGAAAGAAAACACCUCCCAAGAAGCUCACACAGAAAGACUAUUUUGAUUUUUCGUUGAAAUGGUAUAAUCCUAAGUUGCUAUCCUUUCUUUUAUUAUCCCCACUUUGUUCUAUUAAUGAUUUAAGUUAAGCCUACAACUCUAAUCUCAAUAGAUGAUUAUUUUUUGUAUAACAGACAUUAUUAUAGAUAUGCAACAUACUAAUUAUAAGAUUCAAAUAGUGACAUAGGAGAGGUGUUUACCAGCAAAGAUGAAUCUCAAAUAGUGCUAAUUUCUCAGGGAAAAGUAGGAAGAAAAUACACACUUAUUAGUCCUAACAUGUACUAAGAAUUUUACUUGGCACUUUAUAUAAUUUUUUUGGUUAAUCUUUACUAUAAUCCUAUCUCAAGGUAAAUUAUCACCCCCCAGUUUUACAGAUGAGGAAAUAAGCUUGCAAUGGUUAAAUAACUUGCUCAUGGUUACUCAAUGCAUAAAUGGAAGGCCUGCCACUAUUAUUGAAUUCAGGUUUUUCUGAUUCUGUGCUAUUCUCAUUUUACCAGCUUUCUAACUGCUCUACCCCAAAUAGGUUACAGAGGUGUUGUUGAGAUAUUAAUCCACUAGGCCCUUGGAAUGGCCUGGCAGGGUCUAGGGGUAAGGAGCUGCAAUUCCAGGCCACUUAUCCCAGGACACUUUACAAACAUAUUUUUGUAUUAGUUCUAUGUUGUGAAAAGGUAAGACUACAAUGCUAUGCAAAUUGAGUGCCGGACUUAAUCUGAUGCAGUACUUUGAAUUAAUAUUUUAUCCUAAUAUUUCCAACUCUCAGAGUAACAGGUUUGAAAAUUUUCUGGAAAACAAAAUAAGGCAAAAAACAACAACAAAAUAAAUCCAUGAUUUAUAGCCCUUAGUUAAUCUCUGCUCCUACUUUAAACAAGCAUAUAUAAAAAAAAAAACACUGAGAAUAUAUGGCCAUAUGGGUUAUAAAUUCACACACAAAAUGAUAUAAGGUAUACUUACAUCAUGACUC